UACUCCUACGGGAGGCAGCAGUGGGGAAUCUUAGACAAUGGGGGCAACCCUGAUCUAGCCAUGCCGCGUGAGUGAUGAAGGCCUUAGGGUUGUAAAGCUCUUUCAGCUGGGAAGAUAAUGACGGUACCAGCAGAAGAAGCCCCGGCUAACUCCGUGCCAGCAGCCGCGGUAAU
rnacentral:rRNA from 1 species